rnacentral:tRNA from 1 species
GGCGCUAUCGUCUAGUGGUUAGGACAGGGCCCUCUCAAGGCUCAGGCACGGGUUCGAAUCCCGUUAGCGCUACCA